rnacentral:rRNA from 1 species
GAUGAACGCUAGCGGCAGGCCUAACACAUGCAAGUCGAGGGGUAGAAGGAGCUUGCUCCUUUGAGACCGGCGCACGGGUGCGUAACGCGUAUGCAAUCUACCUUGUACAGGGGAAUAGCCCAGAGAAAUUUGGAUUAAUGCCCCAUAGUAUAUAACCUUCGCAUGUUGGUUAUAUUAAAGUUCCAACGGUACAAGAUGAGCAUGCGUCCCAUUAGUUAGUUGGUAAGGUAACGGCUUACCAAGACGAUGAUGGGUAGGGGUCCUGAGAGGGAGAUCCCCCACACUGGUACUGAGACACGGACCAGACUACUACGGGAGGCAGCAGUGAGGUAUAGUAGGCAAGGGUCGCAAGACUGAGCCAGCCAUGCCGAGUGCAGGAAGACGGUCCUAUGGAUUGUAAACUGCUUUUAGACAGGAAGAACCCCUCCCACGUGUGGGAGCUUGACGGUACUGGAGGAAUAAGGCCCGGCUAACUCCGUG